AGAAUCAACGCUGGCGGCGUGCCUAACACAUGCAAGUCGAACGAGAAAGUGGAGCAAUCCAUGAGUAAAGUGGCGACCGGGUGAGUAACACGUGACUAACCUACCUUUUAGUGGGGGAUAACCUCGGGAAACCGAGGCUAAUACCGCAUAACAUCGCAAGAUCAAAGCAGCAAUGCGCUGGAAGAGGGGGUCGCGGCUGAUUAGCUAGUUGGUGGGGUAACGGCCCACCAAGGCGAAGAUCGGUA
rnacentral:rRNA from 1 species